GUCUCAAUAGUUUAAAGUAAAACAUCAAUUUUGUAAUUUGAUAAUGAUUUUUAUCUUGAGUCA
rnacentral:tRNA from 1 species